GGGGAAGUGGCUCAGCGGUUAAGAGCACUGGCUGCUUGCGCUUUCAGAGGUCCUGAGUUCAAUUCCCAGCAACCACA
rnacentral:tRNA from 1 species